rnacentral:rRNA from 1 species
GGUUAAGCGACUAAGCGUACACGGUGGAUGCCCUGGCAGUCAGAGGCGAUGAAGGACGUGCUAAUCUGCGAUAAGCGUCGGUAAGGUGAUAUGAACCGUUAUAACCGGCGAUUUCCGAAUGGGGAAACCCAGUGUGUUUCGACACACUAUCAUUAACUGAAUCCAUAGGUUAAUGAGGCGAACCGGGGGAACUGAAACAUCUAAGUACCCCGAGGAAAAGAAAUCAACCGAGAUUCCCCCAGUAGCGGCGAGCGAACGGGGAGGAGCCCAGAGCCUGAAUCAGUGUGUGUGUUAGUGGAAGCGUCUGGAAAGGCGCGCGAUACAGGGUGACAGCCCCGUACACAAAAAUGCACAUGCUGUGAGCUCGAUGAGUAGGGCGGGACACGUGGUAUCCUGUCUGAAUAUGGGGGGACCAUCCUCCAAGGCUAAAUACUCCUGACUGACCGAUAGUGAACCAGUACCGUGAGGGAAAGGCGAAAAGAACCCCGGCGAGGGGAGUGAAAAAGAACCUGAAACCGUGUACGUACAAGCAGUGGGAGCCUCUUUAUGGGGUGACUGCGUACCUUUUGUAUAAUGGGUCAGCGACUUAUAUUCUGUAGCAAGGUUAACCGAAUAGGGGAGCCGAAGGGAAACCGAGUCUUAACUGGGCGUUAAGUUGCAGGGUAUAGACCCGAAACCCGGUGAUCUAGCCAUGGGCAGGUUGAAGGUUGGGUAACACUAACUGGAGGACCGAACCGACUAAUGUUGAAAAAUUAGCGGAUGACUUGUGGCUGGGGGUGAAAGGCCAAUCAAACCGGGAGAUAGCUGGUUCUCCCCGAAAGCUAUUUAGGUAGCGCCUCGUGAAUUCAUCUCCGGGGGUAGAGCACUGUUUCGGCAAGGGGGUCAUCCCGACUUACCAACCCGAUGCAAACUGCGAAUACCGGAGAAUGUUAUCACGGGAGACACACGGCGGGUGCUAACGUCCGUCGUGAAGAGGGAAACAACCCAGACCGCCAGCUAAGGUCCCAAAGUCAUGGUUAAGUGGGAAACGAUGUGGGAAGGCCCAGACAGCCAGGAUGUUGGCUUAGAAGCAGCCAUCAUUUAAAGAAAGCGUAAUAGCUCACUGGUCGAGUCGGCCUGCGCGGAAGAUGUAACGGGGCUAAACCAUGCACCGAAGCUGCGGCAGCGACACUGUGUGUUGUUGGGUAGGGGAGCGUUCUGUAAGCCUGCGAAGGUGUACUGUGAGGUAUGCUGGAGGUAUCAGAAGUGCGAAUGCUGACAUAAGUAACGAUAAAGCGGGUGAAAAGCCCGCUCGCCGGAAGACCAAGGGUUCCUGUCCAACGUUAAUCGGGGCAGGGUGAGUCGACCCCUAAGGCGAGGCCGAAAGGCGUAGUCGAUGGGAAACAGGUUAAUAUUCCUGUACUUGGUGUUACUGCGAAGGGGGGACGGAGAAGGCUAUGUUGGCCGGGCGACGGUUGUCCCGGUUUAAGCGUGUAGGCUGAUUUUCCAGGCAAAUCCGGAAAAUCAAGGCUGAGGCGUGAUGACGAGGCACUACGGUGCUGAAGCAACAAAUGCCCUGCUUCCAGGAAAAGCCUCUAAGCAUCAGGUAACAUCAAAUCGUACCCCAAACCGACACAGGUGGUCAGGUAGAGAAUACCAAGGCGCUUGAGAGAACUCGGGUGAAGGAACUAGGCAAAAUGGUGCCGUAACUUCGGGAGAAGGCACGCUGAUAUGUAGGUGAAGUCCCUCGCGGAUGGAGCUGAAAUCAGUCGAAGAUACCAGCUGGCUGCAACUGUUUAUUAAAAACACAGCACUGUGCAAACACGAAAGUGGACGUAUACGGUGUGACGCCUGCCCGGUGCCGGAAGGUUAAUUGAUGGGGUUAGCGGUAACGCGAAGCUCUUGAUCGAAGCCCCGGUAAACGGCGGCCGUAACUAUAACGGUCCUAAGGUAGCGAAAUUCCUUGUCGGGUAAGUUCCGACCUGCACGAAUGGCGUAAUGAUGGCCAGGCUGUCUCCACCCGAGACUCAGUGAAAUUGAACUCGCUGUGAAGAUGCAGUGUACCCGCGGCAAGACGGAAAGACCCCGUGAACCUUUACUAUAGCUUGACACUGAACAUUGAGCCUUGAUGUGUAGGAUAGGUGGGAGGCUUUGAAGUGUGGACGCCAGUCUGCAUGGAGCCGGCCUUGAAAUACCACCCUUUAAUGUUUGAUGUUCUAACGUUGGCCCCUAAUCGGGGUUGCGGACAGUGUCUGGUGGGUAGUUUGACUGGGGCGGUCUCCUCCUAAAGAGUAACGGAGGAGCACGAAGGUUGGCUAAUCCUGGUCGGACAUCAGGAGGUUAGUGCAAUGGCAUAAGCCAGCUUGACUGCGAGCGUGACGGCGCGAGCAGGUGCGAAAGCAGGUCAUAGUGAUCCGGUGGUUCUGAAUGGAAGGGCCAUCGCUCAACGGAUAAAAGGUACUCCGGGGAUAACAGGCUGAUACCGCCCAAGAGUUCAUAUCGACGGCGGUGUUUGGCACCUCGAUGUCGGCUCAUCACAUCCUGGGGCUGAAGUAGGUCCCAAGGGUAUGGCUGUUCGCCAUUUAAAGUGGUACGCGAGCUGGGUUUAGAACGUCGUGAGACAGUUCGGUCCCUAUCUGCCGUGGGCGCUGGAGAACUGAGGGGGGCUGCUCCUAGUACGAGAGGACCGGAGUGGACGCAUCACUGGUGUUCGGGUUGUCAUGCCAAUGGCACUGCCCGGUAGCUAAAUGCGGAAGAGAUAAGUGCUGAAAGCAUCUAAGCACGAAACUUGCCCCGAGAUGAGUUCUCCCUGACCCUUUAAGGGUCCUGAAGGAACGUUGAAGACGACGACGUUGAUAGGCCGGGUGUGUAAGCGCAGCGAUGCGUUGAGCUAACCGGUACUAAUGAACCGUGAGGCUUAACCUU